rnacentral:rRNA from 1 species
AACGCUGGCGGCAGGCUUAACACAUGCAAGUCGAGCGGAGAGAAGUAGCUUGCUACUGAUCUUAGCGGCGGACGGGUGAGUAAUACUUAGGAAUCUGGCUAUUAGUGGGGGACAACAUUUCGAAAGGGAUGCUAAUACCGCAUACGUCCUACGGGAGAAAGCAGGGGAUCAGUAAUGACCUUGCGCUAAUAGAUGAGCCUAAGUCGGAUUAGCUAGUUGGUGGGGUAAAGGCCUACCAAGGCGACGAUCUGUAGCGGGUCUGAGAGGAUGAUCCGCCACACUGGGACUGAGACACGGCCCAGACUCCUACGGGAGGCAGCAGUGGGGAAUAUUGGACAAUGGGGGGAACCCUGAUCCAGCCAUGCCGCGUGUGUGAAGAAGGCCUUAUGGUUGUAAAGCACUUUAAGCGAGGAGGAGGGUACUGGUAUUAAUACUACCAGCUACUGGACGUUACUCGCAGAAUAAGCACCGGCUAACUCU